rnacentral:rRNA from 1 species
AAGUCCCCUUCGGGGGAUAAGUAAAGUGGCGCACGGGUGAGUAACACGUAGGUAAUCUACCUUCGGGUGGGGAAUAACCCAGGGAAACUUGGGCUAACACCGCAUAAUGCAGCGGCACCACAUGGUGACAGUUGUUAAAGCGGGGGAUCUUAGGACCUCGCGCCUGAAGAGGAGCCUGCGGCGGAUUAGCUAGUUGGUGAGGUAACGGCUCACCAAGGUAACGAUCCGUAGCCGGCCUGAGAGGGCGGUCGGCCACACUGACACUGACAUACGGGUCAGACUCCUACGGGAGGCAGCAGUCGGGAAUUUUGGGCAAUGGGCGAAAGCCUGACCCAGCAACGCCGCGUGAAGGAUGAAAUCCCUCGGGAUGUAAACUUCGCAAGAAUAGGAAGAAUUAGUAGGGGUCAAUACCCCCUAUGAUGACGGUACUAUUUGUAAGCUCCGGCUAACUCCGUGCCAGCAGCCGCGGUAAUACGGGGGGAGCAAGCGUUGUUCGGAUUUACUGGGCGUAAAGGGCGCGUAGGCGGUCAGCACAAGUCAGUUGUGAAAUCUCCGGGCUUAACCCGGAAAGGUCAACUGAUACUGUGCGACUAGAGUGCGGAAGGGGCAACUGGAAUUCUCGGUGUAGCGGUGAAAUGCGUAGAUAUCGAGAGGAACACCUGCGGCGAAGGCGGGUUGCUGGGCCGACACUGACGCUGAUGCGCGAAAGCCAGG